CGGGCGUCUUAACAUGCAAGUCGAACGGCAGCAUGACCUAGCUUGCUAGGUUGAUGGCGAGUGGCGAACGGGUGAGUAAUGCAUCGGAACGUGCCUUUUAGUGGGGGAUAACGUAGCGAAAGUUACGCUAAUACCGCAUAUUCUCUGAGGAGGAAAGCAGGGGACCUUCGGGCCUUGCGCUAGAAGAGCGGCCGAUGUCGGAUUAGCUAGUUGGUGAGGUAAAGGCUCACCAAGGCAACGAUCCGUAGCGGGUCUGAGAGGAUGAUCCGCCACACUGGGACUGAGACACGGCCCAGACUCCUACGGGAGGCAGCAGUGGGGAAUUUUGGACAAUGGGCGCAAGCCUGAUCCAGCCAUGCCGCGUGAGUGAAGAAGGCCUUCGGGCUGUAAAGCUCUUUCGGCUGGGAAGAAAUCGCACUCUCUAAUACAGGGUGUGGAUGACGGUACCAGCAUAAGAAGCACGGCUAACUAC
rnacentral:rRNA from 1 species